GAUGAACGCUGGCGGCGUGCCUAAUACAUGCCAGUCGAGCGAACGGACGAGAAGCUUGCUUCUCUGAUGUUAGCGGCGGACGGGUGAGUAACACGUGGAUAACCUACCUAUAAGACUGGGAUAACUUCGGGAAACCGGAGCUAAUACCGGAUAAUAUUUUGAACCGCAUGGUUCAAAAGUGAAAGACGGUCUUGCUGUCACUUAUAGAUGGAUCCGCGCUGCAUUAGCUAGUUGGUAAGGUAACGGCUUACCAAGGCAACGAUGCAUAGCCGACCUGAGAGGGUGAUCGGCCACACUGGAACUGGGACACGGUCCAGACUCCUAAGGGAGGCAGCAGUAGGGAAUCUUCCGCAAUUGGCGAAAGCCUGACGGAGCAACGCCGCGUGAGUGAUGAAGGUCUUCGGAUCGUAAAACUCUGUUAUUAGGGAAGAACAUAUGUGUAAGUAACUGUGCACAUCUUGACGGUACCUAAUCAGAAAGCCACGGCUAACUACGUG
rnacentral:rRNA from 1 species